rnacentral:rRNA from 1 species
CCUACGGGAGGCAGCAGUGAGGAAUAUUGGUCAAUGGUCGAGAGACUGAACCAGCCAAGCCGCGUGAGGGAAGACGGUCCAGCGGAUCGUAAACCUCUUUUGUCGGGGAACAAAGCCUGGGACGCGUCCCCCGUUGAGUGUACCCGAAGAAAAAGCAUCGGCUAACUCCGUGCCAGCAGCCGCGGUAAUACGGAGGAUGCGAGCGUUAUCCGGAUUUAUUGGGUUUAAAGGGUGCGCAGGCGGUCGUGUAAGUCAGCGGUCAAAGCCCGGGGCUCAACCCCGGCCCGCCGUUGAAACUGGAAGCCUUGAGUGGGAGAGAAGUAUGCGGAAUGCGCGGUGUAGCGGUGAAAUGCAUAGAUAUCGCGCAGAACUCCGAUUGCGAAGGCAGCAUGCCGGCGCGAAACUGACGCUGAGGCACGAAAGCGUGGGUAUCGAACAGGAUUAGAUACCCUAGUAGUC